UACGGAGGGGGCUAGCGUUGUUCGGAAUUAUUGGGCGUAAAGGGCUCGUAGGCGGUUUGUCACGUCGGGAGUGAAAACUCAGGGCUCAACCCUGAGCCUGCUUCCGAUACGGGCAGACUAGAGGUAUGCAGGGGAGAACGGAAUUCCUGGUGUAGCGGUGAAAUGCGCAGAUAUCAGGAGGAACACCGGUGGCGAAGGCGGUUCUCUGGGCAUUACCUGACGCUGAGGAGCGAAAGUGUGGGGAGCGAACAGG
rnacentral:rRNA from 1 species